rnacentral:ncRNA from 1 species
UGAGUAGAGGCGCAUAUUAUAUGAGUAGAUUCCGGGAUGCAGUCAGGUGCAGGCGAACGGGAAGGAAAGGGUAAUAUGCCGAAGUUUUAUAUUUCCUGGAGAAUAUAUUGCUGGGCAUGCAGUUAAGAACUGCAUGACUGUCAUCUUUUUGAUGGAGUGCUGCUUGAA